UACGAGGGGUCCUAGCGUUGUUCGGAAUCAUUGGGCGUAAAGAGUCUGUAGGCGGCCUUGUAAGUCAGGUGUGAAAGCCCCGGGCUCAACCCGGGAAUUGCAUUUGAGACUGCAUAGCUAGGGUGCGGAAGAGGGAAGCGGAAUUUCCGGUGUAGCGGUGAAAUGCGUAGAUAUCGGAAGGAACACCAGUGGCGAAAGCGGCUUCCUGGUCCAGCACCGACGUUCAGGCACGAAAGCGUGGGGAGCAAACAGG
rnacentral:rRNA from 1 species